CCGUGCCGGCCGCUUACCAUGCAAGUCGAACGGUGAAGCCCCGCUUGCGGGGUGGAUCAGUGGCGAACGGGUGAGUAACACGUGAGCAACCUGCCCCGGACUCUGGGAUAAGCGCUGGAAACGGCGUCUAAUACUGGAUACGAGCCGUGAAGGCAUCUUCAACGGUUGGAAAGAUUUUUCGGUCUGGGAUGGGCUCGCGGCCUAUCAGCUUGUUGGUGAGGUAAUGGCUCACCAAGGCGUCGACGGGUAGCCGGCCUGAGAGGGUGACCGGCCACACUGGGACUGAGACACGGCCCAGACUCCUACGGGAGGCAGCAGUGGGGAAUAUUGCACAAUGGGCGGAAGCCUGAUGCAGCAACGCCGCGUGAGGGAUGACGGCCUUCGGGUUGUAAACCUCUUUUAGCAAGGAAGAAGCGAAAGUGACGGUACUUGCAGAAAAAGCGCCGGCUAACUACGUGCCAGCAGCCGCGGUAAUACGUAGGGCGCAAGCGUUAUCCGGAAUUAUUGGGCGUAAAGAGCUCGUAGGCGGUCUGUCGCGUCUGCUGUGAAAACCCGAGGCUCAACCUCGGGCCUGCAGUGGGUACGGGCAGACUAGAGUGCGGUAGGGGAGAUUGGAAUUCCUGGUGUAGCGGUGGAAUGCGCAGAUAUCAGGAGGAACACCGAUGGCGAAGGCAGAUCUCUGGGCCGUAACUGACGCUGAGGAGCGAAAGGGUGGGGAGCAAACAGGCUUAGAUACCCUGGUAGUCCACCCCGUAAACGUUGGGAACUAGUUGUGGGGUCCUUUUCCACGGAUUCCGUGACGCAGCUUAACGCAUUAAGUUCCCCGCCUGGGGGAGUUACGGCCGCAAGGCUUAAUACCUCCAAAGGAAAUUGACGGGGACCCGCCCCAAGCGAUUCGGAACCAUGCCGCCAUUAAUA
rnacentral:rRNA from 1 species